rnacentral:rRNA from 1 species
UAUACGACCGUACCGCAAACCGACACUGGUGCGCGAGAUGAGUAUUCUAAGGCGCUUGAGAGAACUCAGGAGACGGAACUCGGCAAAUUGACACCGUAACUUCGGAAGAAGGUGUGCCCUAUUAGUGUGUAGUGAACAACGAAGCAUGAAUGGGUUGCAAAAAAUCGGUGGCUGCGACUGUUUAUUAAAAACACAGCACUCUGCAAACACGAAAGUGGACGUAUAGGGUGUGACGCCUGCCCGGUGCUGGAAGAUUAAAUGAUGGGGUGCAAGCUCUUGAUUGAAGUCCCAGUAAACGGCGGCCGUAACAAUAACGGUCCUAAGGUAGCGAAAUUCCUUGUCGGGUAAGUUCCGACCUGCACGAAUGGCGUAACGAUGGCCACACUGUCUCCUCCUGAGACUCAGCGAAGUUGAAAUGUUUGUGAUGAUGCAAUCUCCCCGCGGAAAGACGGAAAGACCCCAUGAACCUUUACUGUAGCUUUGUAUUGGACUUUGAACAGAUCUGUGUAGGAUAGGUGGGAGGCUUUGAAGCAGGGUCGCUAGAUCUUGUGGAGCCAACGUUGAAAUACCACCCUGGUGUGUUUGAGGUUCUAACCUAGGUCCAUUAUCUGGAUCGGGGACAGUGCAUGGUAGGCAGUUUGACUGGGGCGGUCUCCUCCCAAAGCGUAACGGAGGAGUUCGAAGGUACGCUAGUUACGGUCGGACAUCGUGACGAUAGUGCAAUGGCAUAAGCGUGCUUAACUGCGAGACUGACAAGUCAAGCAGAUGCGAAAGCAGGACAUAGUGAUCCGGUGGUUCUGUAUGGAAGGGCCAUCGCUCAACGGAUAAAAGGUACUCUGGGGAUAACAGGCUGAUACCGCCCAAGAGUUCAUAUCGACGGCGGUGUUUGGCACCUCGAUGUCGGCUCAUCUCAUCCUGGGGCUGUAGCCGGUCCCAAGGGUAUGGCUGUUCGCCAUUUAAAGAGGUACGUGAGCUGGGUUUAAAACGUCGUGAGACAGUUUGGUCCCUAUCUUCCGUGGGCGCUGCAGAUUUGAGGAAGCCUGCUCCUAGUACGAGAGGACCGGAGUGGACACACCUCUGGUGUAUCGGUUGUCACGCCAGUGGCAUUGCCGAGUAGCUAAGUGUGGAAGAGAUAACCGCUGAAAGCAUCUAAGCGGGAAACUCGUUUCAAGAUGAGAUCUGCCGGGGCCUUGAGCCCCCUAAAGAGUCGUUC